GAUCCUGGCUCAGGAUGAACGCUGGCGGCGUGCUUAACACAUGCAAGUCGAACGAAGAUACUUAAAAUGAGAGCUUCGGCAGGAUUUUUAUUUAUCUUAGUGGCGGACGGGUGAGUAACGUGUGGGCAACCUGCCCUAUACUGGGGGAAUAAUCGCUGGAAACGGUGACUAAUACCGCAUGUCAUCACGGAAGGGCAUCCUUCCGUAAGAAAAGGAGUAAUUCGGUAUAGGAUGGGCCCGCAUCUGAUUAG
rnacentral:rRNA from 1 species